GACGAACGCUGGCGGCGUGCCUAAUACAUGCAAGUAGAACGCUGAAGCGAGGAGCUUACUCUUCUUGGAUGAGUUGCGAACGGGUGAGUAACGCGUAGGUAACCUGCCUUGUAGCGGGGGAUAACUAUUGGAAACGAUAGCUAAUACCGCAUAACAAUGGAUGACACAUGUCAUUUAUUUGAAAGGGGCAAUUGCUCCACUACAAGAUGGACCUGCGUUGUAUUAGCUAGUAGGUGAGGUAAUGGCUCACCUAGGCGACGAUACAUAGCCGACCUGAGAGGGUGAUCGGCCACACUGGGACUGAGACACGGCCCAGACUCCUACGGGAGGCAGCAGGAGGGAAUCUUCGGCAAUGGGGGCAACCCUGACCGAGCAACGCCGCGUGAGUGAAGAAGGUUUUCGGAUCGUAAAGCUCUGUUGUAAGUCAAGAACGGGUGUGAGAGUGGAAAGUUCACACUGUGACGGUAGCUUACCAGAAAGGGACGGCUAACUACGUG
rnacentral:rRNA from 1 species